CCUACGGGUGGCUGCAGUGAGGAAUAUUGGUCAAUGGUCGGGAGACUGAACCAGCCAAGCCGCGUGAGGGAUGAAGGUACAGAGUAUCGUAAACCUCUUUUGUCAGGGAACAAAGGCGGGGACGUGUCCCCGGCUGAGUGUACCUGAAGAAAAAGCAUCGGCUAACUCCGUGCCAGCAGCCGCGGUAAUACGGAGGAUGCGAGCGUUAUCCGGAUUUAUUGGGUUUAAAGGGUGCGCAGGCGGUCUGUUAAGUCAGCGGUCAAAGCCCGGGGCUCAACCCCGGCCCGCCGUUGAAACUGGUAGUCUCGAGUUGGAGAGAAGUAUGCGGAAUGCGCGGUGUAGCGGUGAAAUGCAUAGAUAUCACACAGAACACCGAUUGCGAAGGCAUCUGACGAAUCGGAGAUUGACGCUGAUGCACGAAAGCGUGGGUAUCGAACAGGAUUAGAUACCCGUGUAGUC
rnacentral:rRNA from 1 species